GACGAACGCUGGCGGCGUGCUUAACACAUGCAAGUCGAACGGUGAAGCGCUUGCCUUUUUGGUGGGUGUGGAUGAGUGGCGAACGGGUGAGUAACACGUGAGUAACCUGCCCUCUUCUUCUGGAUAACCUCAUGAAAGUGGGGCUAAUACGGGGUAUUCCGGGUCUGUCGCAUGGCGGGUUUGGGAAAGAUUGCGCCUUUGGGUGUUUUCGGUGGGGGAUGGGCUCGCGGCCUAUCAGCUUGUUGGUGGGGUGAUGGCCUACCGAGGCGGUGACGGGUAGCCGGCCUGAGAGGGUGGACGGCCACACUGGGACUGAGACACGGCCCAGACUCCUGCGGGAGGCAGCAGUGGGGAAUAGUGCACAAUGGGCGCAAGCCUGAUGCAGCGACGCCGCGUGAGGGAUGGAGGCCUUCGGGUUGUGAACCUCUUUCGCCAGUGAAGCAGGCCUGCCUCGUUUGUGGGUGGGUUGACGGUAGCUGGAUAAGAAGCGCCGGCUAACUACGUG
rnacentral:rRNA from 1 species